UACCCGGUAACCCCAUUACCCCCAACAUUUCUUCUCCCUUAUCUCACUUAUUCUAAUUACCCACUAAACCUUUCCCUUCUUCCUCAUACAUACAACCCAAAAUUACACUCAUCUUCCUCUUUCAAUCCAUUCAUUUUCGUGUAAACCCAGUUCCAUAGAUGUCCUACUCUUCUUGUUGAUUAUUGGUGUAAACAAACUAAGGAUUUUAUUCCAUUGAAGUAGAAAUUAGCAAGAUAGCAAUUAAACCCUUUUUAAGCAUCGAAAAUUCAAGACAAACAUCAAAUUUUGAAGCAUGUUUUGUUGUGUUCCUUGUUGAUCAUCAAAACAGAAGGGGACAACGUCAUCAAGGAACCUUUCUAGCGAUCACGGGGAAACAGACUUAACUCCUUGAAGCAUCUUUGUUUGAUUACAGAUCGGAACCGGCCGGGAACGAUGGGUUAGCGAUGUUGAUUAGAGUGCCAAGGAUGUCAUUUUGAGCUGAGCACGUGGGAAUUUAUAGUUUUGUAUAAGGAUUUUGAUAGAUGUAUAUUAGUCUUAGUUGUGUUGGUUAUAUUGGACUCGAAGUGAAUUGUAUGAUUACCUUAUGUUUUAGUUAGAUGUUUGGUUUGAAAAUUAGCUGAGUUAAUUACGUCAAAGAGCUGGUGACCCCUUUGCUCAAGUUUUGGAAGUGUGAUUUAAGUUUCUUGGGAAAUGAACCCCGUGAUGACCAUGUUUUCUCAGUCAACGGUAAGUCGUGUUGUUACAGACCCAAUGCCAUGAGUUAUUUGAUUAAAUAUCCGGCCAAUUAUUGAAUCGUGUAAUAAUAGAUAAAAUAGAAAAAUAGCAGCUAGCUGAGUUGGAUCAAUAUAUUAAUUAGAUGAGUGUUCGACUCACUAUAUUCGUGUUUUGGAUUCGCUUAUGCUCAGCAACAUUCAAUGAUGCUGCACAAAA